GUCGAACGGCCAUUCUAUUACUCAAGCUUGAAGUGGUCUGGGUAACCAGACCGGAAUAGAACAACCAAUGAAAAGUAACUCUCUACGAAAGGUCCUAGCAGUCUUAGCCAAAAAAUCAGCAAACAGAUUGCGCACUCGUGGCACAUAGGUUAUUUUGAAGUCCGGGAAGCAAAUCUGCAGCGUUUCUAUCUUCUCCAGUUCUGUCGC
rnacentral:lncRNA from 1 species